UGCCGCGUGAGUGAAGAAGGCCUUCGGGUUGUAAAGCUCUUUUGUCAGGGAAGAAAAGGGUCUGGCUAAUAUCUGGGCCUCAUGACGGUACCUGAAGAAUAAGCACCGGCUAACUACGUGCCAGCAGCCGCGGUAAUACGUAGGGUGCAAGCGUUAAUCGGAAUUACUGGGCGUAAAGCGUGCGCAGGCGGUUUUGUAAGACUGUCGUGAAAUCCCCGGGCUCAACCUGGGAAUGGCGAUGGUGACUGCAAGGCUAGAGUUUGGCAGAGGGGGGUAGAAUUCCACGUGUAGCAGUGAAAUGCGUAGAUAUGUGGAGGAACACCGAUGGCGAAGGCAGCCCCCUGGGUCAAAACUGACGCUCAUGCACGAAAGCGUGGGGAGCAAACAGGAUUAGAUACCCUGGUAGUCCACGCCCUAAACGAUGUCUACUAGUUGUCGGGUCUUAAUUGACUUGGUAACGCAGCUAACGCGUGAAGUAGACCGCCUGGGGAGUACGGUCGCAAGAUUAAAACUCAAAGGAAUUGACGGGGACCCGCACAAGCGGUGGAUGAUGUGGAUUAAUUCGAUGCAACGCGAAAAACCUUACCUACCCUUGACAUGGAUGGAAUCUUCGAGAGAUUG
rnacentral:rRNA from 1 species